GGUGUUGUGGCUUAACGGUAGAGCACUUGCCUUGCAUGUGUGAGGUAGGGUUCGAUUCCCAGCACUA
rnacentral:tRNA from 1 species